AUUGAACGCUGGCGGCAGGCUUAACACAUGCAAGUCGAGCGGAGAUGAGGUGCUUGCACCUUAUCUUAGCGGCGGACGGGUGAGUAAUGCUUAGGAAUCUGCCUAUUAGUGGGGGACAACAUUCCGAAAGGAAUGCUAAUACCGCAUACGUCCUACGGGAGAAAGCAGGGGAUCUUCGGGCCUUGCGCUAAUAGAUGAGCCUAAGUCGGAUUAGCUAGUUGGUGGGGUAAAGGCCUGCCAAGGCGACGAUCUGUAGCGGGUCUGAGAGGAUGCUCCGCCACACUGGGACUGAGACACGGCCCAGACUCCUACGGGAGGCAGCAGUGGGGAAUAUUGGACAAUGGGGGAAACCCUGAUCCAGCCAUGCCGCGUGUGUGAAGAAGGCCUUAUGGUUGUAAAGCACUUUAAGCGAGGAGGAGGCUACUGAGACUAAUACUCUUGGAUAGUGGACGUUACUCGCAGAAUAAGCACCGGCUAACUCUGUGCCAGCCGCCGCGGUAA
rnacentral:rRNA from 1 species